ensembl:processed_transcript
AUUUGGCGCGCCAAGAGCAGGCAUUGUGGGCGCUACUAAGUGGAAAUAUUCUGUGCGUGGGGGGUGGAUGAGGCCGUAGCGGAGACGUGCUCUAGCUGUCAUGGCGAAUUGGCCGAUUGUGGCGCUUCGCCUGUAAAGCGGUGGCCUGGCGCUCGCUUGAUCUGGGCCAGUGGUUUCCAACUGGGGAGCGGCUCAGGUUUGUUGCCGGUGUCUGGAAGAGCGGCAGCGUGGCGGCCUAAGUUAAGACAGCGGCCUCUGUUGAUAUGCUCUGCCGAGUGCUGAUGCGCUGGACGUCAGCUUGGAGUUUACAAGAGGAGCCGUGUCAUCCUCAUGGAAAUUUGCUGUUUGGACAUAGUUACAGCGAUUGGAUGUGCCAAUGCUAAAGUCGUGAGAUGCUGCAGGUAAGACAGCUUUGGUAUAUAUAGGAGUUGCUCAAGAACUGAUUUGAUGAUGGGAUAAUUGUCAAUGACGUAUUCGAUACUGAAACUUCUGCGCAUGCUCCUCCCGAAAUUUGUUUACAAAACAUCACUUUGAGA